rnacentral:rRNA from 1 species
AAAUAAAACUAUUAUGUCUAUGGCGGUCUCAUUUAAUUAGAGAAACUCGCUUAAUAAUCGUCAUUACCCGAUAAAUUUCACUUAAGUCAACAUAAUCCAUAUACCGCCGUUAACAGUAUUAUUUAACAACUAUAAUAUAAAAUAUAAAAUAACAUAAAAAAUCAGGUCAAGGUGUGAUAAUACUUAAGAUAAAGUAAGUUACAUUAAAAAUAAUUUAAGGAACAAAUCUCAAACAGAUAAGAAGAAAAAGAAUUUAUUCGUACAUAGAUUAAUUAAAAUU